GUUACUGGCAAUAUGUAUUAAAAGCUAUAGUGGGUAGUUUCUGUGUCGCCCAUGAGGAAUUCUAAGUAAUGACAACUACACUGUCGGAGCAUCCACAUGAUACAAGUCUUCUG